rnacentral:lncRNA from 1 species
UUAGAAGUACAUAUUCUGCUUAACUUGUCGCUGAGAGGCUCGAGUUAGUUAUUAGGUCGCGGUGCAGUAUAUAGCUAAUUUAGAUUUUGAGAGAAGUCGACGUUAGUUCCCUAAUUGCAUUUGUGUCUAGUAAACCAAGUUAGAACCUAGAACUGCCUUAGAUUGUCGCGCUGAGAGGUAGAUAGUCGUAUUAGGGCACUUUUAGAGUCGUUAGAGGACUGAGAGGAAAUCUAACAGUCGGUAAUCAUAACAGCCUUAACAUGUCAGGUGCAGGGUUUCCUAGGUUUCUUCCUGAGAAGGGUCGGGAAGUCUUAGCAUUGAAAUACCUUAAGGUUUAGUAUU